UUUAACUGCAUCAAAAUGUGAAUAAUGAAGUAAUGAGGGUUUCUGUAGUCUAGUAAAUGCAAUUUAAUUACCAAAGUUUGAAUUGUAAGUUGUUACGUGAUUUUGUUACUGACACAAGUAAUUAGAUCACAGUAAUUUGUUACUUUGUAAAAAAAUACUCUCUACACUGGAAGCAGGACCAAUACCCAGACCUGCACCAAAACCAACAGUCACACCAACACCUGGGUCUGCCCCAAAACCUGGACCUUCACAAAAAUCAACACCCAAACCUGCAUCAACACCCAAACCUGCAUCAAAACCCAAACCUGUACAGAGUCCCAGACCUCCUCCAAGACCUAAAACUGCAUCAACACCCAAACCUACACCAACACGCAAACCCGCACACAGACCUGCAAGACCUGAACGUGCUCCAAGCCCAACGAUUUCUCAUAGCAGAAGUUAUAAUCAUGGGGUGGUUACUGAAGAAUGGGUCAUAAAGGGAGUGGAUAAAAGGCUCGACCUUGUACCCAGAAGAAAAAAUGAUCCACGAGGAGACAGUGGUCUCCUGUACAAAAUUGACAAUUCCACCGGCACCUCGAUCUUAAAGAAAGUGAAAUAGAACUGUCAAGAUACUUUUGAAUGGGAUUAGAUGGACAGGAAACAUCAAUACAUUUCUGUGGAUGCGGAUGGUUUUAAAUUGGUAAAAAGAAGCAAAGGUAAACAUAUAAUUGGGUUACCUUAGGGAAAUAAAAUGAAAUAAUUCAAUAUUGCAAGUGCAAAAAUUAUGUAGUGUAGCAAUAUUAUAAUCUCAGCUAAUGUAACUUAUUGGUUUAAAUUACAAACAGGGUUGCAAAUCCAUGAGAAUGUUAGGAUGUUUAGGUACCUUUUACUGCAAACCAAGAAAACAAACUUACUUUUUUACAUGACUAAAGAAAAAAAAAUCUCUCAUUCAGAUUAUAUGGGUUUUGGGAUGGAAUGGGGAUGAGUGAGACAUUCAAUAAUUGCUGAAAAUGUUUCAAAAAUAUGGAAAAUACAAGAGAGGAGAUCCCUUUUCUUUGCUCUACAAUCAUGUGAUUCUCUCCUGUAUUCUUCUUCUAACAUGCAAAGGUCAUGGUAACAAGGUUGAAUGCAUGUUGUGGGACACAAAUUCCAUAAAUCAUACAUUUUUUUAAAAAAAUAUUGUGUUUGUAAAACAAAUGUUCCCAAA